UUGAAAUCCGAACUUCAGUAAAGAAGGUGAUGCACACAACGGAAAGACAAUAACCGCGUAAUCCGAUAGUGUCUAUUCAGAAGUCCCACUGAGUUCAACGGGGUUUACUACCUGUUCAGCAGACCUUGGUCCCCACCAUCAGAGAACAUUUUUAGCCAGCAGGGAAUAUACUACUAAAUGUGAUGCUGAAAGCCUGUUCUAGUUGCUGAGCUCGCCCCAGGAAAAGACUGUCAAAGGCAGGAUGCACUGCCAAGCAUCUUACAUCAGGAGGGCACAUUUUGCCUGUGUACAAAUGAAACCUUACUGGAGUGACACAGCAGCUCUGGAAAUAUACUUGUGGCGAGAUGGACGAUUUUCACUUCAGGGUUGAAAAGCCAGUUCAGCAAGUUUGCAGAAGAAAUUGAACAUGCACAGCAUAGAUUGUUCCCACAGGUUUCAGCCAGCAUGGCCAGUGGUCGGUGACAACGGGAGAUGCAACACCCAGAGGAUGCACCAGGUUUGGGAAGGCUGCGCUAUGGACAUGAGGUCCAAAAGCAGAGCCCAGCUGACCCUGCAUCUUCCAGCAAUGAGAAGAAGUUAUCUUCCAGCAAUGAGAUUCAGGCCCUUUUGAAGACAUUGAUUGUAUUAGUGAAAAUGGUUUUCAGCAUCUUAUUGGAAGCACUGUGUCACAAAGUGGUCGUUUGUGCCCGUUAGGAUCGGUGGGGCGGAAGGCAGGGAGACCAACAGUAGGCACAUCCAGAGCCAAUGACAGGCACAGCCAACUCAUUCUAGUCUUGCCUCCAUCCUCCUCCCUGCUGAGUUCUACAAGGGAGAACAUUGAGACUAAAGAAGAGGGUGCUGAUAGUCAGUGCCACUCCCAGGACUGGCUGUAAGAAAGAAGGCAGGCAGGGAGGCAGACUGAGCUUAGUGGGGCAGUGCCCCAUUUGCCCUCAUGGACCAGCCGCCACUGGUGUCAGAUAAAACCUUGGAAUCAUAGCGGUACAAUGCCAACUCAAAAUGAAACCCACACAUUUGUCACAAUAUGCAUAUAUUCACUUCUGUCUUCAGAACCAGAGGAAUAUUUUUCCUUCUCUGGCAGUACCAGUGAUUUGAAUUUUUUUAACUGAUGCUCAUUUAAAUGGCCAAACAAUGUAGAAAACAUUGGAUGAAGGAUGGCGGGUGGGGGGAGGAACAGAUUUCAGAUCUAAUGAAGCCUCCCUUUCCAGAUGUCAGAUAUUUCAUUCUUUAUUGCAAUGUAUGGAUUAUCUCACAGCCUGCACCACACUGCAAAGCCAUUUGCUUGGAAGCAAAUGAGACAGCAGGAAGUGAUCCAGAACAAUUAAAAAAAACUACUCUGAAACUGAAAAAGGUCUUCUUUCAAACAGGGCUUCUCCUUGCCCUCUCUAAAACAUAAUAUUGCCCUUGCUUAAAGUUUUUUUUUUUUAAUUUGCUGGAGUCACCAGCCGCACUACAAACACUGGCCAGCAGGUGGAGCGUUGAGCUUCUUUUUGGUUCCUCAGUCUUGAGCGGAACAGUUUGAUCUCGGAGAGGGUGUACCACAAACACCGCCCACUGAUGUUUUAGAUGGUGCAUGAAAACUCUUGUGGCUGCCCAAAUGAAGGAGUUAAAGAGAAGGGGGGGGGAACCCGUGGAAGUGUCACUAUGUUGUCUCUGGGCAGGAUCGCAGACCACACCUGAUCUCCAGCAGAAAUAGUCUGCCAUUUGCCUUUGGAAUCAUGCUGGACAGCCUGCUUGCCUUGCGUUUUUUGCCAAUGUCCCCAAAGGCCAGCUCACUGUAGGUAAGGAAACAGUUACCCAGAGCUAAAAGAGCAAAACAGAACAAAGGCAUAGGAUUUAGUCCAGAGCUGGCAGUAAAGCUUCAGAGAUAUCAACAAAUGAAAAUCUGAAUGAAAUGG